AAAAUGUUAUAGAUUGUUUAAAAAAUUUUGAAAAACAAAUUUAAUUGGCUUUAUGCUGUUUUAUUUGGGCUUAUUGUUUGAAAAAUUGACUUAUUUUAUGAUGACCUGUCAUAUCAAGUGUUUUAAACCUUUGAUAUUUGACAAACUUUCCAAAAUCAAAUUACAAGUUGUGUAUUUUUCUGACCUAAUUAAUCCUUUAAGAUAUUAGUUUCCCUCAAGUCCAAAAAUGAAAUAAUUUGACUUAUUUGGUAUAAAAAUUAUACAGGAAGCAUUGUCAAAUAUAAAAUGGUGUUUGGUUUUAUUUGGGCUGUAUUUGUAUAAAAUUGUUAUUGGUAUGUGCACCAAAAUUAUGGGAAACUCCUAUAAUUCUGAUAUGACCUGGUGUACAUUAUCAGUAAUAAUUAUGAUUGUUAUAUUAAAUUAUUGUGUGCCAUGGUGGUAACAAAUUUUCUUGUCAAUUGUAUCUUCGCCUAUGGCUGACCUAAAACUUUUUGUCACCCAUGGACAAUUUUUGUCUUGUUUUAGUCCUCUUUAGAAGAUGGUUUUAUAAUCAGCUAUAAAACUCUAACAGGUAUUCUUGAAUGCAGGUUUCUAAUAACUCUGGAGAUUGUGACAUCACAAUGAAGGAAAAGCUUUCAGGACUCAUGGAGACCUGAAAUGUUCAUGAAUAGCAAGCAGAACAGGAAUUAACUGCAUGAACUGAACUAACAGAAGACUGAAGACACGAUAAAUUGGUCAUUUUACCAAGGCUUUUACUUGAAUGGUGUGCUCUUCUUUGAGGAAUCAAACUUGACUUAUGGAGCCAAUAAAAGCCCCUUGGGAGAACUGGCCUCAUACCUUAUCUACACAGUCCCUGUACAGGGUUCCUGACCUGUGGUAAGUAAAGCAUGUCACUUUCUAACAGUUCCAGGAGCCCCAAGUUUAUCUUGGAACCUCAAGAGGAGAGGAAUUCACCCAACUCAUAGGUAUUUGAUGGUACAAAUCCAUGGCUAGGCUAAGCUUUCCAAAAGUCUUAUCCGAAAUUCCUUCUAUGGAACAAAGUUCUGAUAGGGCCAGGGGACAGAGAAAUUCUAGGCAGAAAAGGAUAGGUCUCUGACAAAACCCCACCUUCAAGCUGAAAAGCCUUAAACCAUGGCCCAAAGUGACAACUUAUAUCCCUGUUUUCCUGCUUGAAAGUUGCCUUUUUCUAAACCACUCAUGGCCCCAUCCUGUCCCAUCCUGUGCCUGUGAAGAUCUCAGACUGAGCUGGCAGAGGCAAGAAGCAGCUGGAUGUUGGGGACUACAGCCGGACAUCAGAGAGAAGCAGCUUGACUGCAGAGGGACAGCUUGAUGGUGUAACCUUGGAGAAGAAUCCGGCUGGAUACAGCCUAACUUUGAGGAAGAUUACCUACCCACCCCAUCCUUUUUCAGCUCCCUUCCUGCUAAGAGCCACUUUCAUCAGCAACAAAAUCCCCCACAUUUACCAUCCUUUGAUUGGUUCAUGUGACCUCACCUUUCCUGGACACCCGACAAGAGCUUGGGAGCCAGGAGAGCAGAUACAAAAGGCUGUCACACUGGCCUUCUGCUCUUGCUGUUGGAGGGCAGCUGCCUCAUGCAAAAAGGCAGAGGGCUCACUGAGCUGUUGACACUUAAGCCAUCCAUGGAAGGCAGAGUUAAAAGAGCACUGUAACAUGACUUCUGGGGCUAUGGGAGUUGCAGGCACCUCCACCUAGAUGCUGCUGUGGGGCCCGCACAGAGUUUGCUCCUGCCAGCACCCAAAAGCACUCACUCUGGCUCCUGCACCCAUUCACCUGCAUGCUUCCUUCCAUGAGCAGGGGACUGCAGCAGGUCCAAGUGAGUGAAGUUUGAUCCUGCAGCACUGAAGUGCUGAUUCCAGCACUCAUGCACUCCAGUUCCUGCCUCAUUUGCUUGCAUGCUCUCUCCUGCAAGGAGGUGAGAGUGGCAGGCUGAAUAAAUGAGGCCCUGUCACAAGUCCCACAGAAGGGUCAGGGAAACAUCCUGCUUCGCUUCCAUCAAAGAGAAUUUAAAAGCUUAUGCAAAAAAAUUAUUACUAUUACUAUGACUGUGCUGUAUACAAUAAUCAGGUCAAGUAUAAUAAAGCAAAUCAGCUCUGCCAUGAUUUGUCUUUAGUAAAAAUGGUAAAUGGGAGAGAGAAGAAUUGUUUCAAAAAAUGAUAGUACACCUGUUGUUAGAUUCUAGUCUUGCCUAAUGUUUUUCCAUUUUUAUUAAUUUUUACAGUUUGGACUGAAUUCUAAUUUUUCUUGGCUACAGGUCUUCAAAAGAUUGUCUUCAGUUUUUUUCUUCUUCUUCUUUCCACCAUUUUUCCUAAUUUGGAGUCACCGAAAACUCAUCUGUGCUUUUAUAAAGCCCUGUGAACUGCAGCUAUAAGAUUUAAACUUCAGAAGAAAAUAUUAGCAACCUUUUCACAUACGUGAGCCUCUUUCAUACCUGCCUACUGAUAUAUGGACUUCCGAGUAAUGUGGCCCAUAUUGAUUUUCCAGGAUUGUUCUUUUGUUUAUUUUUGUUUUUCUCCCUUCCUUUCCCUAUUUUCUCUUCAUAGGACAUGAAACUUCACAACCUGCUAAAAAUGAACUUUCCUAAUAACUCAGGAAUUAUCUUUCUAGGAAUAAACAAUCCUAGCCAUGAGAUAUCAGAUGAAACUUGAGACCAAAGACUGACUUUCUUCUAAAAUGCUUUCUCAAAAAGAUUUUUAAGAAGAAAUGGGCGGAAAUGUGAAAGGAAAAUAAACCUUGGGGCCCUGAAAUCACUAAGGUAAAGGGGAAAGUCAAGCUGGGAACUGCUUAGGGCAAACCUGCCUCCCGUUCUAUUCACAGUCACCCCUCUGCUCACAGAGAUAAAUGCAUAUCUGAUUGCCUCCUUUGGAAAGGCUAAUCAGAAACUCUGAAGAAAGCAACCAUUUUUCUCUUAUCUACCUAUGACCUGGAAGCCCCUCCCCACUUAGAGUUGUCCCGGCCUUUUCCGGACGGAACCACUGUUCAUCUUACAUAUGUUGAUUGAUGUCUCAUGUCUCCCUAAAAUGUAUAAAACCAAGCUGUGCUCUGACCACUUUGGGCACCUGUCUUCAGAACCUCCUGAGGCUGUGUCACAGGUGUACAUCCCCAACCUUGGCAAAAUAAACUUUCUAAAUAAACUGAGACCUGUCUCCGAUUUUGCGGGUUCAGAAGGCUAUACUGAAUUGUCCCCUGUGUGAAGCCCAGCAGGAGCCUUUCACAGCAGGUUCUUUUCACUUGAACCUUUGUGCAUCAGCACCUAACUCUUUCGCAAGAUAAGGGGUCCUACGGAAUACCAGCAGACCCACCAGAGGGUUACAAAUUCCUGAUACCUAGUACAACCUGGGAAAGAGAGCAAAAGCCCUUUAUUCCUGAUGUAGCUUCCCCAAUCUCUAGCCAAUUUGCACCAAAAGCCCAAGAAACUCCUAACUACAAAUUCCUUCCAGGGGUGGGGUGUGUGGGAGGGUGGGCAGGGACUUCUCUGGGGUCCUGCAUGCACAGCUAGGCUCAAGGUUCAGCUUAUAGUAACCUUUUCCUCAUUUU
rnacentral:lncRNA from 1 species